AUUGAACGCUGGCGGCAGGCCUAACACAUGCAAGUCGAACGAGUGGCGGACGGGUGAGUAAUGUCUGGGAAACUGCCCGAUGGAGGGGGAUAACUACUGGAAACGGUAGCUAAUACCGCAUACCAUCGGAUGUGCCCAGAUGGGAUUAGGUAGUGGGGGGGGUAACGGCUCACCUAGGCGGCGAUCCCUAGCUGGUAGGAGAGGAUGACCAGCCACAUUGGACCGGAGCAACGGCCCAGCCUCCUACGGGAGGCAGCAGUGGGGAAUAUUGGACAAGGGGCGAAAGCCUGAUGCAGCCAUGCGGCGUGUAUGAAGAAGGCCUUCGGGUUGUAAAGUACUUUCAGCGAGGAGGCGUUACUCGCAGAAGAAGCACCGGCUAACUCCGUGCCAGCAGCCGCGGUAAUAC
rnacentral:rRNA from 1 species